GUUAUGGAUUCACUACCAGAUUCUACUGUAUGCUCUGACAACUAUGACCACAAUGGUCCACCCACAAAUGAAUUAUCAGGAGUGAACCCAGAGGCACGUAUGAAUGAAAGGUGAGUUAUGCAUAUGUGUGUCUUUAUUUAUCGAAUUAUAACUGAGCAUAGAAGUAUUCACACACACAGGCACAUAAACAAAUAUAUCCAUCCAUCCAUCCA
rnacentral:lncRNA from 1 species